AUUGAACGCUGGCGGCAGGCUUAACACAUGCAAGUCGAACGAUGAAGAUAUAGCUUGCUAUAUUGGAUUAGUGGCGGACGGGUGAGUAACACUUAGGAAUCUACCUUUUAGCGGGGGAUAGCUCGGGGAAACUCGAAUUAAUACCGCAUAAUUUCUACGGAAUAAAGAGGGCUUUUUAGCUCUCACUAGAAGAUGAGCCUAAGUAAGAUUAGCUAGUUGGUGGGGUAAAAGCCUACCAAGGCGACGAUCUUUAGCUGGUCUGAGAGGAUGAUCAGCCACACUGGGACUGAGACACGGCCCAGACUCCUACGGGAGGCAGCAGUGGGGAAUAUUGGACAAUGGGGGAAACCCCGAUCCAGCCAUGCCGCGUGUGUGAAGAAGGCCUUUUGGUUGUAAAGCACUUUAAGCAGUGAAGAAGACCUAUUGGUUAAUACCCAAUAGCGAUGACAUUAACUGCAGAAUAAGCACCGGCUAACUCUGUGCCAGCAGCCGCGGUAAUACAGAGGGUGCAAGCGUUAAUCGGAAUUACUGGGCGUAAAGCGAGCGUAGGUGGUUAAAUAAGUCAGAUGUGAAAGCCCUGGGCUCAACCUAGGAACGGCAUCUGAAACUAUUUAACUAGAGUAGGUGAGAGGGAAGUAGAAUUUCAGGUGUAGCGGUGAAAUGCGUAGAGAUCUGAAGGAAUACCGAUGGCGAAGGCAGCUUCCUGGCAUCAUACUGACACUGAGGCUCGAAAGCGUGGGUAGCAAACAGG
rnacentral:rRNA from 1 species